rnacentral:lncRNA from 1 species
GCACUCUCGAACAAAAUUCUUAUUUGUCAAGGGACCUCAGGUUACUGGCCUCUCCGUUUCCAAGUGCCAAAACCUCAAAUAUACUCCCGACAUUCUUAAGCAUAUCCUCCCUAUUAGAUGCUACUUGUUCCUUGAGAGUGGCUUAACCUAUGGCAAACAGUAAACCUUUUUAUUAGUGAACGGAUGCUUUCUUUGUCGCCUUCUGCUACACUGUAAGAAACGGAUGCUCUUAAUGCUUUUGUGUUGUGCAAGGAGGUAUCAAACGUUUAUGUUCAUCAAUGAAUUACGUACUUCCUUCUAUGCUGAUCUUCCUGAUGCAUCAACAUCCUUUGGUUCAAUUCUGCAAAUCUAUCUGAAGGCUUUUAAACCCACACCACGUAUCUAUAGUCGAAAGCUUUACAUUGUCUGUGAAUUUGGGCAGGUUGAGGAGCGUUCUAUUCCAAUUCAAGAAUUACUUGAUGCUGACGAAGUUUUCUGCACUGGAACCGCAGUUGGUGUUGCUCCUGUAGGAAGUAUUACAUACAUGGGUAACAGGUGAGUUCCAACUCCUUAUUUGAAGGGAUGUUACAUUGUUGUAUAUAAUCAACUCCUACUGGAAAACGAUGCUAGGACCUAAGAUUACGUUAAUAAGUAGCAAUAAACGGCAAUGAUUAUAGACCUGAUGGGAGCCAAUGAAGAUUAAAAUUGAUUUAGAAGGGGAGUCGAAGAUUGAAUUGUCCCCCAAGAUACCAUACCUCUUAGGCCCAUUUAUGACCCCAUGCAACAACUUUAACUUUUCAGCUGCGUAUAAGCACAUUUGACAGCAAAUAAACGUCCUUCGUUGCAUUAAAUGUAGUCCCUUUUAAGCUUUAACAGCUUGUUUUGAAGGGCCUCUCAUAGCUGGAACUCCACUCUUCGGCGCUGGAAGAACAGCUAAGUUUAGAGAUUUGGUGAGAAGUUUGCCUAUNAUGCUCAAGGUAUUCAUCACCUAAUUGUCUCGUGUAAGUUGUUCAGCAGAUGUGUCGGCAUGCCAUGCAUUUAACUCUUGUUCACAACGCUGUACAACCUAUUAUAUUUUUUAUCUAUUGGCAUAAUAUCAGCUGGAUCAAGUUUCACUGAUUAUAUGUUUCCACGCAGCACUUUGUAGGGUUAUAAUACCAGUUGAAUGUGCCCUACAAAUAAUAUUGGUUCGUAACUAAUGAUACUAUUGACUUUAGGUGACUCAUGAAUUGCUUUUCUGUUUACAGGACAAUGUUAUCUCCACUCCGCCCACCAAUGGUACUAUUCUUGAAGGAAUUAUGCGUCUUGGUUAUCAGGUGAUCAGUGGGAUUUUUUAGGGGGUAAUCCAUGGAUCUCAUGCUGUUUAAUGUCGGGCUAACAUUUAACUCUGGUUCUGGCAACACAAGCUUAACUCGUGGUGGAAUGUGUUAGUAUCACUUAGCAAAUCCUGGUAUUAUAGGAUGCAAUGGAGUUUUGGGUAACAUUAAACAUUAUAAAGUUCAACUCGUUCGGAAAUUUUUAUGCAGAUAGCAUAUUGAGAGAAUCCAAAAUGCCUGGCUGAAAAAGUAUCCAGGCCAGUUUGCUGUCCAUCAUUGUUAGCAAUAGGAUAAUCUUUGUCUUUGUAGAUUUUUUACGAUAACCGCUUUUCAUUGAAGCACUCUCGAACAAAAUUCUUAUUUGUCGAGGGACCUCAGGUUACUGGCCUCUCCGUUUCCAAGUGCCAAAACCUCAAAUAUACUCCCGACAUUCUUAAGCAUAUCCUCCCUAUUAGAUGCUACUUGUUCCUUGAGAGUGGCUUAACCUAUGGCAAACAGUAAACUUUUUUAUUAGUGAACUUGCUCCUCUAAAUGGCUCCAAACUAUAAACAUAUGUCAGAUCUUUUACCGGAAGCUAGGGAAAUUUUCUUCCGAUAUCUAAUUCAACAUUUUUUUUGCCACUUAUUACAAUUUAAA